CUUUAAGUUUCAGUCUUGCGACCGUACUCCCCAGGCGGCAAGCUUAACGGCUUCCCUGCGACACUCCGAUCGCGAUUUGCGACCGGAUCAUCUAGCUUGCAUCGUUUACGGCUGGGACUACCCGGGUAUCUAAUCCGGUUCGCUCCCCCAGCUUUCAUCCCUCACUGUCGAGCGCGUUCUGGUGGGCCGCCUUCGCCACUGGUGGUCUUCAACGGAUCAAAGGAUUUUACCCCUACACGUUGAGUACCGCCCACCUCUCCCGCCUCCUAGUCCUGCGGUAUCCUCUGCCUGCCAACGGUUAAGCCGUUGGAUUUAACAGAGGACCUACAGAACAAGCUACGGAUG
rnacentral:rRNA from 1 species